rnacentral:rRNA from 1 species
UACGUAGGUGGCAAGCGUUGUCCGGAUUUACUGGGCGUAAAGGGCGCGUAGGCGGCCAGCACAAGUCAGUUGUGAAAUCUCCGAGCUUAACUCGGAACGGUCAACUGAUACUGUGCGGCUAGAGUGCGGGAGGGGCAACUGGAAUUCUUGGUGUAGCGGUGAAAUGCGUAGAUAUCAAGAGGAACACCUGCGGCGAAGGCGGGUUGCUGGGCCGACACUGACGCUGAUGCGCGAAAGCCAGGGGAGCGAACGGG